GGUGAGAUGGCCGAGCGGUCUAAGGCGCCAGACUAAGGCUUUGUCAUCAUUUCUCACGCAUAAAUCUGGUCCGAAAGGGCGUGGGUUCGAAUCCCACUCUCAUCA
rnacentral:tRNA from 1 species